CCUGGUUGAUCCUGCCAGUAGUCAUAUGCUUGUCUCAAAGAUUAAGCCAUGCAUGUGUAAGUACAAGCCGAGUUAAGGCGAAACCGCGAAUGGCUCAUUAAAUCAGCUAUGUUUCAUUGGAUCUGUAAACCCACUUACUUGGAUAACUGUGGUAAUUCUAGAGCUAAUACAUGCAUCACGUCUCUGACCGCAAGGGAAGAGCGCUUUUAUUAGUUCAAAACUGGUCGGGCCCCGGUCCGUUAACCCACCCGUGGUGAAUCUGAAUAACUUUUUGCUGAGCGCACGGUCUCCGCACCGGCGCCGCAUCCUUCAAGUGUCUGCCUUAUCAGCUUUCGAUUGUAGGUUAUGCGCCUACAAUGGCUAUAACGGGUAACGGGGAAUCAGGGUUCGAUUCCGGAGAGGGAGCCUGAGAAACGGCUACCACAUCUAAGGAAGGCAGCAGGCACGCAAAUUACCCACUCCCGGCACGGGGAGGUAGUGACGAAAAAUAACGAUGCGAGACUCAUCCGAGGCCUCGCAAUCGGAAUGAGUACACUUUAAAUCCUUUAACGAGGAUCUAUUGGAGGGCAAGUCUGGUGCCAGCAGCCGCGGUAAUUCCAGCUCCAAUAGCGUAUAUUAAAGUUGUUGCGGUUAAAAAGCUCGUAGUUGGAUCUCAGUUCCGGACUGACGGUACACCGCCUGGUGCUUACUGUCACGCUCCGAACAGCUAACUAGCCCCGGGCCGAGCGUGCCCCACGAGAAGUAGCUCACAGGGCUCACCGGCCGUGCAAAUGAAACUUUUUUAAUCUCACGAGUCUCGUCCGAUGAAAUUACCGGACUUACAGAUACGUACCUUAUUACCUUAUCCUGGAGCCAAGAUAAAACAACCAAAAGCCUUGGACUCCAUUACUGAUUAUCCUUGUCCGCCCCCGUAAGCAUAACGCGGAACCGGCAUGUCGUCGAAUGUGGUGUCUCUU
rnacentral:rRNA from 1 species